GAGGGUGUAGCUCAGUGGUAAAGCAUGUGCUUAGCAUGCACACGUCCUAGGUUCAAUCCCCAGUGCCUCCA
rnacentral:tRNA from 1 species